GUGCUCCCAAGGUUUAAGGUCGAGCUGAGCGUCCCGGAAUUUGUAUUGAGCAAUUUUUCGACACUACCCUGUACAGUGAUUGCAAGCUUCGUGAAUAAAAAUCCCGUCGAAGGUGUUGUUCUAUUCAACUUUGGUCUGAAGCAAGAGGUUGGAGACAGUGUCGUGGUUUUCAAGCAGCAAAUCUCCAGUGCUUCUCGAAGGCGGUGACGCUGUGUACAAUCUGCUGCGGGAGCACCUGGAGCCGUUCAUUGGCCACCGCUGGGAUACGCUGUUUGCCAGCCACGGGCGCCUAGUGGUGAAAGCGACCGUCACCGAGGAAGCUACCGGAGCUAAGGUGUCGGCGCAAAGUGACAAGACGGUUUUUUCUAAAACGCCUUACGUGAUUUCACUGAGGAAGAAUCAACGAAGCUUCAAACCCGGCCUAAAGAUAUACAUCAUCGCUGAAGUAACAUACGUCAGUGGAAACCCAGCUCCAAAUGUACCGAUGAAGUUGACUCGGCUCAACCCUGGACAAACAUACGAAGCUACGACCGGCAGUGACGGAGUGGCAACGUUCUUCAUACCGGUGUCCAUCGACGACGGCGUGCUGUCCAUCGAGGUGGCGACCAACGAUCAGAGGUACCCAGAUGAGCACCAGGCGCGAGAACGACUCACUCUGCAGCCCUACCAACGUGUUUCAGAGGGAUUCAUUGCCAUCGAAAGAAAAGACCCGAAGAGCGUUGCUGAAGUAAAUCAAUUGUACGAAGCGGUUUUGUUCAUUCAUCACGUCAAGAAAAUCAGUUCCUCGGUUUACUAUGCGGUCCUGUCCAAGGGGAGAAUAGAAAUGGUUCAGAAGCUGCCUGAAGGAAGAAGAAUCGAGGAAAAUAUAGUGAUACCUGUUACGCCUGAGAUGACACCCAGCUUCCGCGUGGUAGUAUUCGCUGUGCUUGGCGGAAACGUCGUUACGGACUCUAUUUACGUGAAUGCCCAGCCAGCGUGCACAAACACAUCUCAUUUCACCCUCGGAAGGAAGAAUAUGGGAGCUGCAUCUGAGCCUAUGGCCCUUGAGACGCUAGUAGUUAAGGGCACGCCUGGAACACGUGUUGGCUUUUUGGGCGUAGACCAAUCGCUGUACCUGCUGAGAAAAAAGGAUCUCCUCACAAGGGACAAGCUGUUCCAGUCUCUGGAUUCUAAGGAUCUCGGCUGCGGCGCGGGCGGAGGCAUGGACGCGGUCGAAGCACUUUCCAGUUCCGGCGUCGUGCUCCUGACGCGAGCUCACGUGGGCAACACCUUGAGAAGCGACAUAGCCUGCCACGAGCACCGAAGAAAACGAGAAGCAGCGAUCAACAUCUUGGAAAAGUACGAAGACGAGACGCUGCGCGUGUGCUGCUCUCGCGACCAGAGGAGGGACGAGUUCUUAUUCUCGUGCGCUGAAAGAGUGGAGAUCCUGAUGAAGCAAGAAAACACGCAUGUCACGCAGGAGUGUUUGGAUGCUUUCAAGCGGUGUUGUACGCUACGAGAACUUAAGAACUCGGCGACUUAGUUCCAAGGUCACAAAUUCUACCAAUGACACUUUAUUUCUGGAGACUAGAGGUGUGACAAAAGUAUGCCAAGGUUUACAUUAUUUGUAAGCAUCUUGUUCUGCGCUAUAAGUAUAAAGUUUUUCUUGCUACUUCCAACACUCUUGUAAAGGAUGCGUCUCUUCAAACAACCCUCUUCCACUCAGUCUUCCAAGAGUAUGCUAUAUUCACGACGCGUCCUAUGGGUCUUUCCAGCAAUAAAAUUACUUGAUUUAUGAGUGCACGAG